rnacentral:lncRNA from 1 species
GCCCCAUAACACCAAUUAAUUUUUUCAUAUAAGACUUAAUAGCUCAUGAAAGGUCAUUUACCAAAAUUUUAGAAGAUUCUUGAUUUUCUUUCUUUUGUUUUGAGACCCAAAUAAUUCCAAUGAAAAUAUAAGGUAAAAGUCCGAGUCAGCCUUUUCCCGCCAUAUUUUAAAUCUCAAAUAUCUCAAAAAGGAGGUCCAUGACCUAUCAAUAUCUUUAGCUUAUCUUUAUUCUUAAUUGAUGCUCUACUAGCUUAUAGUAUUAAUUUUUAAUUUCUUAAUUUCUAAAUUUUUACCUAACCUCACCUAAGUACAUCCUUACG